UACGUAGGGUGCAAGCGUUGUCCGGAAUUAUUGGGCGUAAAGAGCUCGUAGGCGGUCUGUCGCGUCUGCUGUGAAAACUCGGGGCUCAACCUUGGGCUUGCAGUGGGUACGGGCAGACUAGAGUGCGGUAGGGGUGACUGGAAUUCCUGGUGUAGCGGUGGAAUGCGCAGAUAUCAGGAGGAACACCGAUGGCGAAGGCAGGUCACUGGGCCGCAACUGACGCUGAGGAGCGAAAGCAUGGGGAGCGAACAGG
rnacentral:rRNA from 1 species